GUGCUCCGGAAGCAGGCGAGGACGAGACAAAACCUACUUGUUUUUUAUGCAUCUGUAGACAGCUCACAAAAAAAACCCAUGGCCUUUUUGAACAAUGUGCACUUUUUGACCCUUACCUGGAAUGCAAACAUAUUUGAAACUGUAAUAAGUAACCAGAUAUAAGUGAGAAUUAUUUAUGAAUAUAAUUUAGUAUCGUGGUUCUGGGAUGUGGAACAUAAGAACUCUCUCUGUGAGAAGCAAACAAACACACGGAUCUACUGAGAGAAAACUCUGAAUCAGAGGAUUUAUUAAAGAGACAAGAGACACCGCCUCAACUGAUCUUCUGCUGGACAAUAGAGAAGGAGAGAUGGAAGGAGGAGGAGGAGGAGGAGGAGAGUGAAAGCACAGUGCUGAAUGGGGGGGGGGGGGUCCAAGCUGAGUCUCUACUGGAUAUGGAGGAUUCUGGUUUCUAAGGAAACCACAGCGCAGCGCCACAAAGUUCACAGAGCUGACGCUGUGCUUACUGGAAGCUACUCGCUGCAUUGGGAGGAUGUAACUGCCAUCAGAGGAGCGCAAAGAACAGGCCUACGGACGGAGGAUCAGAUGACCUCAUCGGACACGGCGUGCAGCUCUGUUACCACGGCAACGGGCUCAAUGGGAAGUGACCUGGAGCGGAGCGCAGGUUCGAGCCGACAGUUUUGAUGCGACCCGAUGAACAGAGUUAUUGAGGUCAAAGGGGAGCCUGCUGCUAGAGCUCCGUCGGCUGGACCUCUGCCUCUCACCUCCCCGUCAUGCAGCACUCCCAGAGACUGGACCAAAGACUACACACGCUCAGGGAGGAGGUCCGGACCAUGACCCACGACAAGGAGCGGGGGGAGCAGGUUUGGAGGGACCGACUGCAGCGCUGUCAGAGGCAGCUGAAGGCCAAAGAGGAGGAGAUGAGUCGUCAAUCGCUGUACUUUGAGAACUUCAAAACCCAACUCCAGCACAAGCUGAGCCUGGCCCGGGACCGAGAGCAGAGCCUGCAGAACCGGAUCUACACUCUAGAAAAGCAGUUGCUGGACGUGACUGUGAGAGCCGUCACCGACACCGCAUCGAUCGGGGCAGUCAGAAUUACUGCCGAGACUGUAACACGCUGGGAAGAACCAGAGCGGCUGCCUCCCACGAGAGGACAGGGGGAAGGGGAGGAGGAGAGGAAGGAGGAGAGGAAGAGGCAAUGGCAGCCAAGUGUGGGAUAUAAGAGGGGCGGAGGGCUAGGAGGUGACCAAGAGACACAAGGAGAACGGGUCAAAGAAGCACAGUCAAACGAAGCCAGGCUGCAAGGCUUCAUCCUGAGCCUGCAGCAGGAUCUCAAGGUGCUGCUGGAGAGAGAGGAAGGUGGGAUGACGGAGCGAAGGGGGCUGAUGGAGCAGCUCCAAGAGGUCCAGGAGAACAGCCACUUCCUGGACUGCAAGGUGGAGGACAUGAGAGCAGAGGUGCAGCGGCUGAAGCUGUCCGAGCAGUCCUUGAUGGAGGAGGUUGAAGAGCUGAAAGAGGAGAACCACAGACUCCAGCCAGAGUCGACGUGGUUGAGUCCUGGGUCAAACACUGUCUCUUAUGCCACCGCCACGGGACACUCCUCGGUCGGGAGCUUUGGAGAGGCACAUCUACCGUUGGAUGAGGGAGCAGGCCGGCCGCAUUCAUCCGCAGUUUCACCACUUCACCACCAGGAGGAAGCAGAGAGUCUACAGAACAACGCAGAGGAUCGUUCCCCAUCUGCCCCAUCAGAAUCUACUCCCCCUAAAGUCUUUUGCCCCCGUGUCCGGUCACUCUCUUUGACUACAGAGACACUAGAGGAGUUCAGAAUGGGGACAUGGUGCUGUAAAGGGGUUCUGAACCUGGAGAAAAGCCCCAGUGAGGAAUCGGAUGCCCUGAGGGAAGCCUACAGGAGCUUGGGGCUGGAGAAGGAGCUUGAAGCGCAUCAAGAACAACGUGUCAGCUUUGAGGUCGACAGGUUACAAGUCAGCAAAGAGGUACGAGAGUCAGAGAUGCAGCAGAGGUCUUCAAGAGAAAAGAUCUGCACACCGUCCGCCGGUAAUGGAGCUGAAGAUGCCGCUGAUCUCCCCCUCGCCCAGGGGGAUCUGGUCUGGGCCCUGAAUCAGGAGAACCGGCUCUUGGCGGAGCGGAUUCAGGAGCUGGUCGCUCACAUUGAGCUCAGAGAAGAGGAGGUCAAGAGGGCGCAAACGCAGCUGAUGGAGCGCAUCUUCAAACUCGAGGGAAACCGAGUUAGGCUGGAGCGGGAGAGCCAGGAACAAGAGUGUCUGAUUACAGAACUCACCAAGAAAACCGAGGAUGAUCUCAACACCAUCAUGGAGCUGCAGCAAAGGUUAGAGGAGAGUGAACAGCGUCCGGAGGAAUCACAGGUUGCCAACACUCCGCGUGGAUCUCAAUUACAAAGUGAGCAGACGGCUGCACUGUCGGGAAGUUUUCAAGAGCAGAACCUGGAAGAUUGUGUGGACAGUUUGGUGGAAUGUGUGCUUAAUGGGGAAGAGCCACAGGGGACGUCAGCUCAACAACUAUAUGACUCGACCGCUGCUUCAGCACCCAGUUCUCCACGAGAUAAUCACUACGGUCCUCUGCAGAACAGCCUGCUAAUCAGUUUGCGCGUUAGUUCGUUGACUGAUCGAGAAAAGCAGCUCACCAGGUCGGUCCAGAGACUCAAAGCGGACGAAGAGGAACUGUCAGGUUGCAUAAAUGCUCUCAGAGAGCAGCAGAGAGAAGUAGCUCUGUCCGUCCAAACACAAACGGAAGACAAACAGCAGCUAACACGCACAGUUUGGGGACUGAAGGAGGAGAAAGACAGCGUCUCUCAAUCUCUGGCUGGUGUCAAACAAGAGAGAGAGCAGCUCACCAGGACCGUCUGUGGCCUGAGGGACGAGAGAGACCAGUUAAUAAGGUUUAUGAGGGGCCUGAAAGAGGAGAAAGAGUCUUUAUCGGGUCUCGAGAGAGAAAAAGAGAAACUGUUAGAAUCUCUUUCUAGUGGCAAAGAAGAGAGAGAUCAAAUCAUGCAGUCGCUACGCAGUUUACACACAGAGAGCGACCAGCUAAGCCAGUCGGUGCUGCAUCUGAGAGGCGAAAGAGAUGAGCUCACCAAUUCCCUCAAGUGUCUGAAGGAGCGGAGAGAAGAAAAAGAAAGUGUUGAACAUUCAAUCAGCUGUUUGAAACAGGAAGAAAAACAGAUAGAGCUUUUACUUCAGGGCCUUAGAGAGGAGAGAAACGUCCUCUCGCCGGCUCCGCCCGGCCGAACGCAGGCGGAGGGGAUCGAUCGCAGGCCACUGAAUCCAAACUGUGCCGUGGCCGCGGAGAAGUGCGCGAGUGUUGUUGGAACAGGAGCCACACGGAGACGUCCGGCUCACGGGCAAAGUUCUGCACAGGAGGAGCAAAGCGAUCUGAGGAGGGAGAUUGAAGCUUUGGGAGAAAAACUAAAGAGGUCACGGGACGAUCUGGACAAGAGCCGUGUAGAUGUGAGUUUACACAGCUUGUCAUUUUUUCGGUUACGUUUGUUGUGCUAGCAGAUAAUAUUGGGUGAUCAAACUAAAUGAUAUUAACAAGAAAGUCUAACUCAAGGUCCACUUGCUUGCUUUAUUUGAUAGAGAACUUGAUUUUAGAUCAAACUUUUUAUUAUAGUAAACCCCUCACAGCAUCCUAUUGGCUUUGAAUUUAGUUUUUCAUGCAAAGUUUAAAUUUCUGAUUUUGAGAUGCAGGAGUCACGUAAGAACAGAACCUUUUUUGUUCUGUUCAGCUCCGUUUUAUAUUUACAGGACAGUAAACU
ensembl:lncRNA